rnacentral:rRNA from 1 species
UACGUAGGGGGCGAGCGUUGUCCGGAUUUAUUGGGCGUAAAAGGCUUGUAGGUGGCCACGCCAAGUCGGAUGUGAAAUCUCCCGGCUCAACUGGGAGGGGUCAUUCGAUACUGGCGGGCUCGAGGCCGGUAGGGGGAAGUGGAAUUCCCGGUGUAGUGGUGGAAUGCGUAGAUAUCGGGAGGAACACCAGUGGCGAAGGCGGCUUCCUGGACCGGUUCUGACACUGAGGAGCGAAAGCGUGGGGAGCGAUCCGGAUUAGAUACCCGGGUAGUCCACGCCGUAAACGUUGGGCACUAGGUGUCGGGGGUAUCGACCCCUCCGGUGCCGCAGCUAACGCAUUAAGUGCCCUGCCUGGGGAGUACGGCCGCAAGGCUAAA